AGAUUGAACGCUGGCGGCAUGCCUUACACAUGCAAGUCGAACGGCAGCGCGGGAGCAAUCCUGGCGGCGAGUGGCGAACGGGUGAGUAAUACAUCGGAACGUGCCCAAUCGUGGGGGAUAACGCAGCGAAAGCUGUGCUAAUACCGCAUACGAUCUACGGAUGAAAGCGGGGGACCUGCAAGGGCCUCGCGCGAUUGGAG
rnacentral:rRNA from 1 species